UACGUAGGGGGCAAGCGUUGUCCGGAUUUAUUGGGCGUAAAGAGCGUGUAGGCGGCCUGGUAGGUCAGCUGUGAAAACUCGAGGCUCAACCUCGAGACGCCGGUUGAAACCAUCAGGCUAGAGUCCGGAAGAGGAGAGUGGAAUUCCCGGUGUAGCGGUGAAAUGCGCAGAUAUCGGGAAGAACACCCGUGGCUAAGGCGGCUCUCUAGUACGGUACUGACGCUGAGACGCGAAAAGCGUGGGGAGCGAACAGG
rnacentral:rRNA from 1 species